AGCAGAUGGUGAUUAUUUUCUUUCUAUGCAUGGUCGCAUCACGGUGGUGAGGGCAUCGCGUGGGGAUGCAUGAGGCGGAGGGGGCAAGGCAAGGCUAGGAGGAGCUGAACGAGAAACGACGUCUUUGGGUCACCGACAGGGUGCAAACAACAAAUGCAAAUCUGUAUGCUCAAAUUACAGUUGUAAAUUAUUGCCUUGUUGGGAGAAAGUUUACGUUACGUGGGUUGGGAGUAGCUGUUGGUACCUGUGAGAGCGCAACGCAUGUCUGAGGCAUUAGGUGUUGUAUGUAAAAGCAAGCUGGUAAUUUUUCGCUGUUUCUCAUCAGUUGAAAAUUUUGGAAAUAUCAUGUGUUGAUGCUGUGCUGUCUGAAGAGUUCUGUCCCUUUUUACUGUUUACUUGGGUUGUUUCAUGUCAUGGCAACUUGUUCUGAGACGCUUUUUAUAGUUGCUGCACACCAAGUGACUUCAAAAGCACUUGACCCAGAGCCAGAGCCAGAGCCAUACUUGAUUUUUAUAUGGUGUUUGUUACUAGGAGCAUUAUUAUCUACUCCCUCCGUUCCUAAAUAUGAGUGUUUUUAGACAUUUCAAAUGGACAUUAACAUACGGAUGUAUGUAGACAUAUUUUAAAGUGUAGAUUCACUCAUUUUGUUUUGUAUGUAGUCACUUGUUGAAAUCUCUAGAAAGACUUAUAUUUAGGAACGGAGGGAGUAGUAUGUAUGUAUGUACCAGACCCAGAGCCAUACCUGAUUUUUAUACGGUCAUCAGUCCCGUGGGCUGCUGCUACCGAAAUCCUUUCUUUACAAUCUCUCUAGAGUUUACAACUUCGAACAACACAGAAAGGGAUUCAAAAUAUUAUACAACCCAACAAGUAAAUAAACGUACUGAAAGCUGAUACAUGCACACACAAACACAACGCUUUAGUUUAAAAGAAAGAAAAAGCGAGACACUUUGCACAAGCAUCAGGUUCUUCGCAGGUUUUUCUUUUUUUGGAACAUUUUUUAAUUUUGUGAAUCUCUUUUUACCGUUCAUGAAUAUUUUUUAAAUUCAUGAACAUUUCUUAAAAUUCACAAACAUUUUUUUGAAUCCACAAACAAUUUAUGAUUUCCCGAACAGUUGUCAGAAUCAUGAACAAUUUUUUAAUUCAGAAACAUUUGUAAAUAUCUUGUUUUUUUUUCAAAAUUCAAAAUUGUUUUGAAAUUUGGAACUUUUUAGCCCCUAAUUAUUUUAAAAUCAUAUCUGAAAAUAGAAAAAGGAUUUUUUUAAAGAAAGUAGGAAAAAACCAAAAAUAAAACCACACACAGAAAAAUAAAAAUAAAAGCCAAAGCGAAAAAAUGGAACAAAAAAUCCCCAAAAGAAAACAUAUCUACCGAAUGGGCCGGCCCAUUUGGCUGCGGCUUGAGAGAAGCCUCCCCUGGAAAAUAGGGUUGGCCAGUCCUAGCGACCCAAUGGGUCGAGGCCUGAUCCGCGCUACAAUGUACGCCCCGGAUUGGAGUAAGUUAUUGGCUGCCUUUACUAAGGGCAUGUACAAUGAUUGAUAAGACAGCAUUCUCAAGGACCGAACCUAGUGCAUUUCGAUUCGCUUUUCCUAACAUUCCUCUUCUUGAUCCGGUUGAGUAUGCCAUUGGUAGUUCCUUGGUUGAUUCGUCUCCGUGCAUUCACCGCUCGGAAUUCGACGAGGGAGAAUAUCCCGUGAGAUGGUGCAUUUGAUGUGAACCCUAUUUUCUUGCUUUGGGUGGUGACGGCCUAUGUUCUCAAGGACCGAACCUAGUGCGUUUCGAUUUUAUUUUCCUAACAUUCCUCUGCUUGAUCCGGUUGAGUAUGCCAUUGUUAGUUCCUUGGUUGAUUCGUCUCCGUGCAUUUCACCGCUCAGAAUUCGAUGAGGGAGAAUAUCCCGUGAGAUGGUGCAUUUGAUGUGAACCCUAUUUUCUUGCUUUGUGCCAUAGAUGUGACAUUGUUGGUUGAUAGUGUGUUAAUGUACUUCACUGAUACUGUCUCCGUUUAUAAGAAUCACCACUUGCUUAUCCUGGUCACAAAAAAUGAUUGGGCCAUCUCUGUAUUUAGUUUAACUUGUUUUACUUAUUUAGUUGCAACUAUCUAAACCGUAAACACACUGCUAUCAAUUUAUUCAGUGUUUUCACCUUAUUACUUCAUAUUUUUCAUGCACCAAUUCAUCAUACUACUCAUUGGGUAUAACAAUGUUACUUAUCAAAAGGGCUACAAAUGACCCCCCUACACUUGUGAUGUCAUGCAUCAACAAUAUCUUUUGUUUCUCUGUAGUAUUUUGCUUGGCAUUCAUGCUUAAAGCAAUCAAUUUUUGUAAUUAUAAGAUAGAUCAUUUAUUUUUAAAAAAUUAUAUCCAUGCCAAAAAUAGAAAACAUACAUUUUAGAACUAAAUGACAAGACAAAACAUAGUGAAAACCAAGAAAACUUUUUGGCAAUGAUUCAAAAGGACAAAGAACACAGAGAGAACAAAAUAUUUACAUAUAUUCAUAGUAAAAAAUGCAAUAAGUUUCAACAACAUUGUAAAAUUUUGGUGAAUGUUCUAAUAUCUUUGAGUCUGCAUUUGCACAAUUAUCACACUCCCAUACCAAAAAACCACCAUACAUGAAAAAAUCCAGAGAAACAGAUUAUAUGAGGUCAGUUCUUUGCCAUUUAUAUUUUUGUGUCAUUAUCUUAGUAAAACAAAUGGUACUUAGUAUUAAUAAAUCAAGAUAUUUCUAUAUUUUAUUGGGGUUAUGUAGCAAAAGAUUCACCAAUCUUUAUAAGUAUUUUAACUACAAGGUAUGUCAAAUGGAUAAUUUAACAAACUUUUAUACUAAAUACUUAUACUUAUUUUUAUUUAUUUUGAUCAACAUAUUGCUUAGUUAGCACAAAUAAACCAUAUAGUAAUGUCAAAAGAUUUUUAAAUAUAGUAAUGUUUAUUAUAAAGUUGCAAUAAUAUAAUUGAAAAUUAUAGUUGUGAUGUGCUAAGAUAAAAUAUUAUUUUUUAUAUCAAAAUUUACAUUGUGUUUUAAAAUAUCUUUAGUUGAACCCACUAAAACAUGAAAAAAA
rnacentral:lncRNA from 1 species